ACGGGUGAGUAACGCGUGGGAGUCUACCCAUCUCUACGGAACAACUCCGGGAAACUGGAGCUAAUACCGUAUACGUCCUUCGGGAGAAAGAUUUAUCGGAGAUGGAUGAGCCCGCGUUGGAUUAGCUAGUUGGUGGGGUAAUGGCCUACCAAGGCGACGAUCCAUAGCUGGUCUGAGAGGAUGAUCAGCCACACUGGGACUGAGACACGGCCCAGACUCCUACGGGAGGCAGCAGUGGGGAAUAUUGGACAAUGGGCGCAAGCCUGAUCCAGCCAUGCCGCGUGAGUGAUGAAGGCCCUAGGGUUGUAAAGCUCUUUCAACGGUGAAGAUAAUGACGGUAACCGUAGAAGAAGCCCCGGCUAACUUCGUGCCAGCAGCCGCGGUAAUACGAAGGGGGCUAGCGUUGUUCGGAAUUACUGGGCGUAAAGCGCACGUAGGCGGAUACUUAAGUCAGGGGUGAAAUCCCGGGGCUCAACCCCGGAACUGCCUUUGAUACUGGGUAUCUCGAGUCCGGAAGAGGUGAGUGGAAUUCCGAGUGUAGAGGUGAAAUUCGUAGA
rnacentral:rRNA from 1 species